CAGCAGCCACGGUAAUACGGAGGGGGCUAGCGUCGUUCGGAAUUACUGGGCGUAAAGCGCACGUAGGCGGCUUGGUAAGUUAGAGGUGAAAGCCUGGAGCUCAACUCCAGAAUUGCCUUUAAGACUGCCGAGCUAGCAGGUGAGAGAGGUAAGUGGAAUUCCGAGUGUAGAGGUGAAAUUCGUAGAUAUUCGGAAGAACACCAGUGGCGAAGGCGGCUUACUGGCUCAUACUGGACGCUGAGGUGCGAAAGCGUGGGGAGCAAACAGGAUUAGAUACCCCAGUAGUCCCUGUCUCUUAUAC
rnacentral:rRNA from 1 species